rnacentral:ribozyme from 14 species
AAAGAGUGAUUUCAUGAAAGACAGGCAUUUUUUUUUAUUUUUUUUUUUUUUUUUUUUUUUUUUUUUUUGUUG